GUCAGUGUGGCCGAGUGGUUAAGGCGUCAGACUCGAACUCGAAUAGAGUAUUAUCAAUAUAUCUGAUACAUUCGUGUGCACAGGUUCGAAUCCUGUCGCUGACG